rnacentral:rRNA from 1 species
AGAGUUUGAUCAUGGCUCAGAUUGAACGCUGGCGGCAGGCCUAACACAUGCAAGUCGGGCGGUAACAGGGAGAAGCUUGCUUCUCUGCUGACGAGCGGCGGACGGGUGAGUAAUGUAUGGGGAUCUGCCUGAUGGAGGGGGAUAACUACUGGAAACGGUAGCUAAUACCGCAUAAUGUCUCCGGACCAAAGCGGGGGACCUUCGGGCCUCGCACCAUCAGAUGAACCCAUAUGGGAUUAGCUAGUAGGUAAGGUAACGGCUUACCUAGGCGACGAUCCCUAGCUGGUCUGAGAGGAUGAUCAGCCACACUGGAACUGAGACACGGUCCAGACUCCUACGGGAGGCAGCAGUGGGGAAUAUUGCACAAUGGGGGAAACCCUGAUGCAGCCAUGCCGCGUGUGUGAAGAAGGCCUUCGGGUUGUAAAGCACUUUAAGCGAGGAGGAGGCUCUUUUGGUUAAUACCCAAGAUGAGUGGACGUUACUCGCAGAAUAAGCACCGGCUAACUCUGUGCCAGCCGCCGCGGUAAUUC